ACCGCACUUUCAUCGUUGCCUUGGUUGCGAUAUUUUUCCGCAAUAUCCAGUAAACGUUCGGUGCCAUCCGGCGUGCGGUU
rnacentral:tRNA from 1 species